rnacentral:rRNA from 1 species
AUGAAGAGUAACGCGGAUAAACACCGCUCUUUCCGGGAAUUUGCCGUAGGGGACAUUGUCUAUCUGAAACUUCAGCCCUACAUGCAAUCUUCAGUGGCUCCGCGGGAAAACCACAAACUGUCAUUCAAGUUCUAUGGCCCAUACCCAAUCAUCGAGAAGAUCAACAUUGUCACCUACAAGUUGCAGCUUCCGGCACAUGCGUCCGCCCACCCCAUUUUUCAUGUGUCGCAGCUUCGCCGAGCACUCCUCCCUGGUACGGUCAUAACUCCUGAUCUUCCCAUAUGUACUGACAUGCUUGCCAUUCCCGUGGAGAUACUCCAGACUCACUGGCGCCAGAAGAAUGGCGCUAUGGUGGAGCAAGUCAAGGUGCGUUGGUCACCGGACUCUGCCAAGGAAGACACCUGGGAAGACCGUGCUGCUCUCUUCGAUCGCUUCCCUCAAACUGCGGCUUGGGAUCAAGCCGCCACUCAAGGAGAGAGGGGGGGGAUGUGA